rnacentral:piRNA from 1 species
UUUGACGAACCUGUGGCCUGUAGGUG